GACGUAGGGUGCGAGCGUUGUCCGGAUUUAUUGGGCGUAAAGAGCUCGUAGGCGGCCGGUUGCGUCUGCUGUGAAAUCCCGGGGCUUAACCCCGGGCGUGCAGUGGAUACGGGCCGGCUGGAGGCAGGCAGGGGAGAAUGGAAUUCCCGGUGUAGCGGUGAAAUGCGCAGAUAUCGGGAGGAACACCGGUGGCGAAGGCGGUUCUCUGGGCCUGUACUGACGCUGAGGAGCGAAAGCGUGGGGAGCGAACAGG
rnacentral:rRNA from 1 species